AGUGAACGCUGGCGGCAGGCCUAACACAUGCAAGUCGAACGGCAGCACAGUAAGAGCUUGCUCUUACGGGUGGCGAGUGGCGGACGGGUGAGGAAUAUAUCGGAAUCUACUUUUUCGUGGGGGAUAACGUAGGUAAACUUACGCUAAUACCGCAUACGACCUACGGGUGAAAGCAGGGGAUCUUCGGACCUUGCGCGAUUGAAUGAGCCGAUGUCGGAUUAGCUAGUUGGCGGGGUAAAGGCCCACCAAGGCGACGAUCCGUAGCUGGUCUGAGGGGAUGAUCAGCCACACUGGAACUGGGACACGGUCCAGAGUCCUACGGGAGGCAGCAGUGGGGAAUAUGGGACAAUGGGCGGAAGCCUGAUCCAACCAUACCGCGUGGGUUAAGAAGGCCUUGGGUUUGUAAAGCCCUUUUGUUGGGAAAGAAAAGCAGUAGGUUAAUACCCCGCUGUUCUGACGGUACCCAAAGAAUAAGCACCGGCUAACUUCGUG
rnacentral:rRNA from 1 species